rnacentral:rRNA from 1 species
NNNNNNNNNNNNNNNNNNNNNNNNNNNNNNNNGGUGGAAUACGGUGGUCACAAACUGAAAUCUUUUUCGUGGACGUUAUGUGAGAAGUACACCCCGUGUGGUUAUCUCCAUGCACACGAUCCCCGCUGUACACUUCAUUUUCCGAGGUUGUCCGCAACUCGUAUAUGCACUUGCACACGUGUGUGCCUCUGUGUGUGCGUGGGUGUCCCCACGAAAGCAAGUUGCACGCGUGUCGUUUGAGGUGCCCCCAGGGACUACAGCAUUUCUACCCUUGCAAAAACAAAUACGGAGGAUCUUGCUGCGCGGGUGCACCCCUACAGAAUGUUGCGACUAUUCACGUGCACACACUACUCUUACAGACAUAAAAUCUGCGUGACCCUCGUCGCUUGUGAAAAACAGCGCUCUCGUAACACAGCUGGCACACCUGUUAGUGUGGUAGCUGCCUGGACGAGGACUAUAUCUUAUGCUGUCGGAUGCUAGCCCUGAGGUCGUGUGUCAGGAGGAGAACUGGUGCAAGUCGUGGGAGCAACGCCUUGAGCAGAUUUGUCUAAGUGUCGACUGUAACGUAGGCACAAAAUGAGACACUGGUAACAACUUUCCAGUCAGAGGCAUCCGCAAAUGCGUAUUGCCGGCCAUCCGAGUGCCUGCACUGGCCAUGUUCCUGCUGACCACUAGUUAAAUAUUUCCCACCAGCAGUGUGACAUGAGAGCAAGGCGUAGGAAUGUGCCGGUGACGCCCUACAACCACAUCAGAGUGUGGUUCCCACCCUCUUUUCCUACAUACCCAUACCCCGUCGGACACACCCGCUUCCCAGACCCCUCGAGGGGUCUCCCCUCCCGCUUGCGGGGUGAGUCGUCCACAAAGCGGGGUAGUUAAUAAUAUUCGCAAUUGCAAAAUGUCACACUACACGAACCUGGGGAGCCGCAUGCACAGCAAAAUUCAUAGGAAUCCAGAUACUGGCGUAAACCAACAUACGCAAGGUAAACACUGAUAGUUCUUUAGUGCAGAGAAAGGGAGUCGGUGCUCAGUGCUUUACCUACCGCCUGGUUACGAAACAAAAAUGGACGCUCGUUAGAUACGAUAAAAGGUGCUGGUUCAUUUUGACAGCAGGACGGUGGUCAUGGAAGUCGAAAUCCGCUCAGAAGUGUGUAACAACUCACCUGCCGAAUGAACCAGCCCUGGAAAUGAAUGGCGCUGAAGCGGGCUACCGAUACCAAGCCAUUGCUACGAUCUAGUACUUUAUACACGACUUUGAGUAGCAAUGAGUAGGAAGACGUGGAGAUCGUGACGAAGCGUUCGGCGUAAGCCCGCGUGGAACGGUCUCUAGUGCAGAUCUUGGGUAGUAGUAAAUAUUCAAAGGAGAACUUUGAAGACUGAAGUGGGUAAGGGUUCCAUGUGAACAGCAGUUGGACAUGGGUUAACCGGUCCUAAGCGAUAGCUUAACUGCGUGAAUGUGAGGUAUCUCGUAGACCUCGUUCCGCGAAAGGGAAUGGGGUUAAAAUUCCCGAGUCAGGACAGGGAUAGUGUACGGUAACGUAAACGAACUCCUCGACGCAGGCAGGUGCCCCGGGAAGCGUUGUCUUUGCUUUUUAACAGACUUUUGUCUCUAUACCCUGGAAUCAGUUUAGCUGGAGAUAGGGUUGGAUGGCUGGUACUGCACCUUGGUUUCCAAGGUGUCCGGUGCGCUCCUGACUGCCCAUGAAAAGAGGAGGCAGAGUUGUUAUUUGCACCCCUGGUCGUACCAAUAGCCGCAUCGGGUCUCCAAGGUUAGCAGCCUCUGGUCAAUAGAAUAAAGUAGAUAAGGGAAGUCGUCAAAAUAGAUCCGUAACUUCGGGAAAAGGAUUGGUUCUGAGGACUGGGUGCAUUGCGCCCUUGUUGCCUGUAUUUAACGGAGCUUAGGACUGCUUCAUGCUUUGCGGCGUGUUGCGGAUCUGAGCAUUGUUUGUACUGUGCACAGAGGAAAAGGUUUGAAUUCGCAUAUCUCUUCGCGGGGAUAUAUGUGGUCUUUACUGUGCAGGCACGGUGAAGAGCUAACUCAGAACUGGAGCAGACAAGGGGAACCCGACUGUUUAAUUAAAACAAAGCAUUGCGAUGGCCAUAACUGGUGUUGACACAAUGUGAUUUCUGCCCAGUUCUUUGAAUGUCAAUGUGGUGAAAUUCAAUCAAGCGCGGGUAAACGGCGAAAGUAGCGAUGACUCUCAUAAGGUAGCCAAUUGCCUCGUCAUCUGAUUAGUGACACGCAUGAGAUUAACGAGAUUCCCACUGCCCCUAUCUACUAUCUAGCGAAACCACAGCCAAGGGAGCGGGCUUGACAGAAGCAGCGGGGAAGAUCGUGUUGAGCUUGACUGUAGUCCGACUCUGUGAAAUGACUUAGGAGGUGUAGAAUAAGUAGGAAUUUUUCGGCGUCGUGAAAUACCACUACUCUUAAUGUUGUUUUACUUCUUCCGUCAUGUUGAGGCGCAUGCGCAAGCAUGUGUUUUGGAUUUAAGGUGGCAUUUAUGCCGCUGAUCUACGCGGAAGACAUAGAUUGGGAGUUUGGUUGGGGCGGCACAUCUGUGAAACAAUAGCGAAGGUGUCCUAAGGCAAGCACAAUGAGAACAGGAAUCUCAUGUCGACCAAAGGGGAAACACUUGCUUGGUUUUGUUUUCAGUACGCAUACAUACUGUGAAAGCAUGGCCUAUCGAUCCUUUUGGUCUGAGAAAGCUUCAGCUAGAGGUGUCAGAAAAGUUAUCACAGGGAUAACUGGCUUGUGGCAGCCAAGCGUCCAUAGCGACGUUGCUUUUUGAUCCAUCGAUGUCGGCUCUUCCUAUCAUUGAGACGCAGUAGUCUCAAAGUGUCGGAUUGUUCACCCGCCAAUAGGGAACGUGAGCCGGGUUUCUGCCGUCGUGAGACAGGUUAGUUUUACCUACUGAUGACUUGAUACUGCAACAGCAAUCCAACUUAGUACGAGAGGAACAGUUGGUUCCGAUACUUCGUAAAUGGUGCCAGUUAAAAAACUAGUGCAGCGAUGCUACCAUCCGUUGGAUAAUGACUGAACGCCUCUUAAGUCAGACUCCAUGCUGGAUACGCAGUGUUAUUCACAGUUUCCUCUGUUACAUGCAAAGAAACAGGCUUCUCUGUGUCCUAAUUCUCACCAUUGCUCCGCGCGAUACUGCAAGGAGCGAGAAACACAAUUCCGAACAAAGGAGGCGAUACAUCC